CCUAACAUUGUCCUCUUAUUAGGUAUCUGCUCCUAAAGACUAUUCGAUUUUGGGAAAAGGUUAUUCAUGUUUGGAGUUCAACUGCAUCUACAAAAUGCGAGUCAUCAACGCCAACAUAUCACUCAAAUGUCUUCGGAUUAUCAGCAGAGCUACGAGAGGAAAGAUCUUCAAUCCUUUUAAGAUGGCGCUGGACUGUCCUCAUAAAAGAAGAGAUGUACAAACAUGUUUAAAGGGUGAGGCAUCCUCAUGAAUUUACCCGAAGGAAGAUGCUCUGGGACUUUACGACAUGCUAUAAAAUGUAGGCUAUGUUUGCAAUGUAGAAGACCAAUAAUUAACAGCCCGAAUUUUGUUGAGUUCAUACACUAGCUUCAAAGACUGUUUUCUUUUACCAGUGUCGAUGGACUGUAGAAAUCAUAUGGUCAAAAUGAACACCUAGUACUAUUACCCUCGGUUUACAUUGGUCUCAUUCAAAGGACUGUGGAGAGCCAGGAAAGUUGGUUUCUUGAAAGCCACGCCGUUUCAGGGUUCGUUAUUUGCCUUUGGUUGUUCCGUACUUUCCUUUUCAAAUGCUAAGUACUGGAAUGUGUCCUGCUCAUUCGGAAGUCGCACCUCGGUGAGGUAUUACUCUUCUUUCAGUUAUUGCCAAAAAGUUUGUGAUAUUUGAUUUCACACGAUAUGUUUAUAUAAGAAGUCCUUAGACCAAUCGUAGACAGGAAUAUU